rnacentral:rRNA from 1 species
CUAAAAUGCACAGGUCGUGAGUUCGAUGAGUAGGGCGGGACACGUGACAUCCUGUCUGAAUAUGGGGGGACCAUCCUCCAAGGCUAAAUACUCCUGACUGACCGAUAGUGAACCAGUACCGUGAGGGAAAGGCGAAAAGAACCCCGGCGAGGGGAGUGAAAUAGAACCUGAAACCGUGUACGUACAAGCAGUGGGAGCACCUUCGUGGUGUGACUGCGUACCUUUUGUAUAAUGGGUCAGCGACUUAUAUUUUGUAGCAAGGUUAACCGUAUAGGGGAGCCGUAGGGAAACCGAGUCUUAACUGGGCGAUUAGUUGCAAGGUAUAGACCCGAAACCCGGUGAUCUAGCCAUGGGCAGGUUGAAGGUUGGGUAACACUAACUGGAGGACCGAACCGACUAAUGUUGAAAAAUUAGCGGAUGACUUGUGGCUGGGGGUGAAAGGCCAAUCAAACCGGGAGAUAGCUGGUUCUCCCCGAAAGCUAUUUAGGUAGCGCCUCGUGAACUCAUCUUCGGGGGUAGAGCACUGUUUCGGCUAGGGGGCCAUCCCGGCUUACCAAACCGAUGCAAACUCCGAAUACCGAAGAAUGUUAUCACGGGAGACACACGGCGGGUGCUAACGUCCGUCGUGAAGAGGGAAACAACCCAGACCGCCAGCUAAGGUCCCAAAGUCAUGGUUAAGU